UACGGAGGGUGCAAGCGUUAUCCGGAUUCACUGGGUUUAAAGGGUGCGUAGGUGGCUAUUUAAGUCAGUGGUGAAAGCCCGCGGCCCAACCGUGGAAUUGCCAUUGAAACUGAGUAGCUUGAGUACAGUUGAAGUGGGCGGAAUACAUCAUGUAGCGGUGAAAUACUUAGAUAUGAUGUAGAACACCGAUUGCGAAGGCAGCUCACUAAGCUGUAACUGACACGGAGGCACGAAAGCGUGGGUAGCGAACAGG
rnacentral:rRNA from 1 species